CACAAAUUUUAAGAACAUUUUACUUAUUUUUAGAUCUGUUCUUGCAGUGUACUACAGAAAGGCAACAAUUAGGAGGUUAUAAAAGCCAUGUUAACAUAGUUAUUGAUUAAGGAAGAUGAUUUCUCUGAAGAUGACACAAGAGGUGCAUUAUCGCUCUCACACAUGACACACACUCAUGAGCAGGCAGGGGGGGUAGAAGGGAAAAAAAGCACAUGCUCUUCAGUGGUUUCAAACAAGCUGAUAAUACGUUUCCUCUGUAGCCUGACCUGUAACUGAUUGAGAGUUUACUGUAACUUUUGCUGUGAUCAGGCCCGAGUUCAACAGAUUGCAACAGUUAGACAAAACGCCAGAGAGAUAGCGAGAGAGAGAGAGAGCGGUAGAUUCCUCUUUUGUGUCGACAGAACGGGCAGCAGCUCCUCUGUCAGUGACGUGUUCAUGCAUGUCAGUGCAGUGAAUGAAUGGCUACAGCCCAAAAAGAGCACGCACCCAACAUUUUCGUUUCACAAGCCGCGUACCCGCUUAACUUCCCCUUUGCGAGCUCUUGCAGGAGGAAAUGAAUCACAGAAUGGCUCGAAUCUGGGCAUUUUUCACCGCCGGGUUUGUGAAGUCUUCGGCCGGGGCGCUGAGUUGGGCAACCGGCUGGCGGUUGGUUGCCCAUUAAAAGUGAAAAACGUUCAGAUGCGUCGUUGAGUCACCGCACCACUCAAAGCAGAAGUUUCUCAGCGACGUCUACAUCUGAUAUGAGUCCGGAGUGUUGGUGCCAGUUUAGGGGACUGCCGAUGUUGACAGGAAAAAGGAAAAAAAGAAUUACUACCUAUGUGCAGAUCUGCAUGUUUUUUUUUUUUCUGCUUUGAAUUCAUGCCGAUGGGCAGAUAGGUUUAUGAAUAAAGAAGAGAGUAAACGCUUUGUUUUGAUCAUCUAUAUUAGUGGGAAGGACUUGUUUACUACUCCUUGUCGAGCGAGGCUGCAGCCACGGCUGGGCUACUUCUACUUUUGAAGGUUUCUAUUGUUGCUGGGAGGAAGCAAUAGCAAUUGAACGAGCGCGAGUGGCCUUGCCAGAGACAGACAGGUGAGAGCCAGGCCCGCAGAUGGUGGGAGGAAGUCUGCGAGGACGAGAGAGGAAAAAAAAAAAAAAAAAAAAA